UGGGGAAUAUUGGACAAUGGGCGCAAGCCUGAUCCAGCAAUGCCGCGUGAGUGAUGAAGGCCUUCGGGUUGUAAAGCUCUUUCGCACGCGACGAUGAUGACGGUAGCGUGAGAAGAAGCCCCGGCUAACUUCGUGCCAGCAGCCGCGGUAAUACGAAGGGGGCUAGCGUUGUUCGGAAUUACUGGGCGUAAAGGGCGCGUAGGCGGCGUGUCAAGUCAGGCGUGAAAGCCCCGGGCUCAACCUGGGAACCGCGCUUGAGACUGGCACGCUCGAGUUCGGGAGAGGAUGGUGGAAUUCCCAGUGUAGAGGUGAAAUUCGUAGAUAUUGGGAAGAACACCGAUGGCGAAGGCAGCCAUCUGGACCGACACUGACGCUGAGGCGCGAAAGCGUGGGGAGCAAACA
rnacentral:rRNA from 1 species